CCUUAGCACUCGAGAUCGGGCCGCAGGGUUGAAAGAAAGGACAGGCAAGCGGGCGUUCUCACUGGCCUGUAUGAAAAUGGUCAAAAAUACAUUAGUUGGAGGGAGAUAAAAGAGUAGGGAGGGAUGGAUAAGUGAACAGACCUUUUCUCAUUAGAUAACUGCCGACCGUUAUCGUGGAAUGACUUUCUCUUUCGUGUGCAUGUACCGUUUUCACCCGGGAAACCCCAAAAAGGGGAAAUUUUCGAAACUGAAGCCACGCCUUGGGGGCGAAUAAGGAAAAUGUUGAAAAGCUCGAGAGCUCGGAAGUUCUGAUGGCCCGAGUAGUUGCAGUUGAGUAGCCGUGGGUGUGUGAGUGAAGUGGUUAAACAAGUCCGUAGAUUACAAAGUUAGAAUCAUUUUGAACUGCUAAUAUGAGAUUGUGAAAUGUCUCUUGCUACACUGUCAGAAAUUGUAUUCAUCUCCGGUCCGCGUGUGAAAACUUGUUAAAAACCGCUUGUGAAAAAUUGCAAUUGAAGUACAUUACCAUCAGUUUGGUUUGUGUUCGGUAUUUCAUUUCAGUAAUUUCUUUCGGAAAAUUUUCGUGUAUCAACUCAUUGUAAGAGUUUUCGGUGGCCUUUUUCCGUGAUACUCCAAGAUAUUCAGUUGGAGGGUGUCGUUUUGGAAGUCAUGCUAUCUCUGAGUGUGCGCUUCGGCAGUAUUAAUUUGAUAUUCCUGCUUCACAACUUGUCUGUUAGGAACUUACGAGUCGCUGAAGUAAUUAUGUUGUGGUCUUUCCAACAUUCGUCAAGGCGUUGUACGAAGACUAAGAAUUUUCACUUUGCAUUAGAGCUGCUCCUGAAUUUACGGAUCAUCGCUUCAUCACGGUAAAAUCUCUCCAACUCUUUCCUACUCUCAGAAUUAAUCGCGAACGAAUCGACCAUUUGUCUAUAUACUCUCAAUUUUUCAAAGUGAGCUGGUACCGUAUUCUUCCUCACCACUGGUACUAGCAGUCGCCAUUUGAGCUGAUUUUAAUAAAAUCAGUCUCACUUCAUUCCAAGUUGCCUAUAAUUGAAUCUCUCAGUUCGAAAACUGCUAAACUCGGCAUGGUGCUCCUGAAGGGGGCUUAAAUCGAAGUUAGUCAUGAAUGAAAAUUUGAGCUGAAAUGUCAAGAGAAGAACUCCCAGAUACUAAAAACCACAAUUUCGAAACAGGUUGAUGGAGCUCCAUCGCGAUUUCACGUGUUUUUUAGGCUUUUUUUAGAAAAAGUUAGGGAUUUGACCAUAAAUG
rnacentral:lncRNA from 1 species